UACGGGGGGGGCAAGCGUUGUUCGGAAUUACUGGGCGUAAAGGGCUCGUAGGCGGCCAACUAAGUCAGACGUGAAAUCCCCAGGCUCAACCUGGGAACUGCGUCUGAUACUGGUUGGCUUGAAUCCGGGAGAGGGAUGUGGAAUUCCAGGUGUAGCGGUGAAAUGCGUAGAUAUCUGGAGGAACACCGGUGGCGAAGGCGACAUCCUGGACCGGUAUUGACGCUGAGGCGCGAAAGCCAGGGGAGCAAACGGG
rnacentral:rRNA from 1 species